AGAGUUUGAUCCUGGCUCAGGACGAACGCUGGCGGCGUGCUUAACACAUGCAAGUCGAACGGUAAGGCGCUUUCGGGCGUACACGAGUGGCGAACGGGUGAGUAACACGUGAGGAACGUGCCCUUGACUUUGGUAUAGCACUUGGAAACAGGUGGUAAUCCCGAAUAUUCAGUUUCCCGGGCAUCCGGGUUGUUGGAAAGCUUUUUGCGGUCAGGGAUCGUCUCGCGGCCUAUCAGCUUGUUGGUGGGGUAGUGGCCCACCAAGGCCUUGACGGGUAGCCGGCCUGAGAGGGCGACCGGCCACAUUGGGACUGAGAUACGGCCCAGACUCCUGCGGGAGGCAGCAGUGGGGAAUAUUGCACAAUGGGCGGAAGCCUGAUGCAGCAACGCCGCGUGCGGGAUGACGGCCUUCGGGUUGUAAACCGCUUUCACCCAUGACGAAGCGCGAGUGACGGUAGUGGGGGAAGAAGCACCGGCCAACUACGUGCCAGCAGCCGCGGUGAUACGUAGGGUGCGAGCGUUGUCCGGAAUUAUUGGGCGUAAAGAGCUUGUAGGCGGUUGAUCGCGUCGAUAGUGAAAUCCCGGGGCUCAACCUCGGGCUUGCUGUCGAUACGGGUUGACUUGAGGAAGGUAGGGGAGAAUGGAACUCCCGGUGGAGCGGUGGAAUGCGCAGAUAUCGGGAAGAACACCGGUGGCGAAGGCGGUUCUCUGGACCUUUCCUGACGCUGAGAAGCGAAAGCGUGGGGAGCAAACAGGAUUAGAUACCCUGGUAGUCCACGCUGUAAACGAUGUCGAUUUGGGGGUUGAACUUUGAGUUUGGCGCCCGUAGCUAACGUGAUAAAUCGACCGCCUGGGGAGUACGGCCGCAAGGUUAAAACUCAAAUGAAUUGACGGGGGCCCGCACAAGCGGUGGAGCAUGUGGUUUAAUUCGAUGCAACGCGAAGAACCUUACCUACUCUUGACAUCCAGAGAACUUUCCAGAGAUGGAUUGGUGCCUUCGGGAACUCUGAGACAGGUGCUGCAUGGCUGUCGUCAGCUCGUGUUGUGAAAUGUUGGGUUAAGUCCCGCAACGAGCGCAACCCUUAUCCUUUGUUGCCAGCGAUUCGGUCGGGAACUCAAAGGAGACUGCCGGUGAUAAACCGGAGGAAGGUGGGGAUGACGUCAAGUCAUCAUGGCCCUUACGAGUAGGGCUACACACGUGCUACAAU
rnacentral:rRNA from 1 species